UAAGGAAUAUUGGACAAUGGGCGGAAGCCUGAUCCAGCCAUCCCGCGUGCAGGAAGGAGGCCCUCUGGGUCGUAAACUGCUUUUCCCAGGGGAGAAACGCACGGUUUGGACCGUGCCUGACGGUACCUGGGGAAUAAGCACCGGCUAACUCCGUGCCAGCAGCCGCGGUAAUACGGAGGGUGCGAGCGUUAUCCGGAAUCACUGGGUUUAAAGGGUGCGUAGGCGGCCCGCUAAGUCAGGGGUGAAAUCC
rnacentral:rRNA from 1 species